GACAGCGCCAGAGCUGUAAAGGCAUCGCUGCAGUUCUGCUCUGACACCCGGACCCAGCACUGCAGAACACUAUCAGAUCCAUUUUACAGCUUACAAGCUGAGGUGCAGUGAGAGGUCUCACAGAGCACAAAGCCACAAAUACCAUCUUCCUACAGGAGCACAGGGAUGCAGGGAGCAGUGAGACGACCGCCAGCUGCCAGAGUGCAGCUCCUUCAGGACAGCACCCAUGGGCUUUCUGCUCACAGGCAUGCAGCCAUGCAUGCAGACCUGUGCCAACACUCCAGUUUGCUCUGUACUGAAUUCUGCACAAGCAAGGUUGUUAACAACCUGGGCUUAGCUUUUAAAUGUUUGCUUUUUAAUCUAGUUGAAGCACCAAGGAGCUACCAUCAUCACGUGCCAUCAUGUAAGUAGUUCCUCUGUAGGACAUCCUAGUUAUCCUAAUUGCUUUAUCCUCACUUUUGCUCUUCCUGCAAAUAAAUGACGCUGCACUGCUAUCAGGGGAACUCCUGGCCUGCCCUCCCAGGCCUGGUGCAGCAGUGGGCUCAGACAUGAGCAAAAGCCUUGGUUUGGUUUUUUUUUUUCCAGAAUAUAAGUACAGGAUUUGAAAUGACUCAAAUAAAAAUUCUUUUCUGAAUGGCUUCAGGGGAAACUGUUCAUAAAAUCCUUCUGUUAUUAGCAAAGACAGUUCAUUAUCAGCACACCGUAAUAAAGGAACACACCUGGGUUAUCACUGUCUGCAGGACACAAACUGCUUUUCCACUCAGUGCUGAAUGCUCCAACCUCUAUAGUGUAGAGACUGACCUUCUGCCAGCAGCAGCACAGCUCUCGGUAGCUCUGGAUCCCCACAUCUGUAGUAGCAAAAGAUGCAGACAGUCACCUAGUGGGAAAUAUGGAACAUUUCUACUUUCUUAUACCCUUGAAACACUGAGGUAUGAUGGAGAAGAGGAACUGAGGACCUCCAAAAAGAAUAUGGUGAAAAGUCCCAUGCUGAGUGGGCUCCAGUAGCUGGGAUGCCAGACUAUUUUUUACCGUUUGAACAUGACUGUAUAUACGCUGAUGCCCGGGUUCCUACCCAGAAGCAGGAGGGCUUUGUCAGAGAGGAAGAGGAAAAUCUUCCUGUGCUGGACCUGAGUUCAGAGCAGGAGAGCGCGUACGGAGACAUGAAUCAGAUCACAGAAUGGCCUGGGUCGAAAAGGACCGUCAUGAUCACCUGGUCUCAACCCCCUGCCGUGUGCAGGGUCGCCAGUCAUGGUGAGGAAUCCUGCCCAGGGAGCCGGGGAGGGCGAGAGGAAGGGAAAGGAGGAACUCUGCUUAUGCGAACACUUCGCAGGUGCUCUUCGUUCCAUUGUCACAGCUGAUCCCUUCAGCAUAAUCUGAAGCACCGAGUGAAAGAGAUCGCAAUCUGCACUAUGAAACCUGCCGUUCUCCCCGGCUCAACCCACGGACACGUUUACACUUUCUCCACUUUUUCCCCAGCUGAGCACACUACACAUGAUGGGGCUCUCAGCUGCAGCCGCUGCUUACAGUGCUGCAUGAAACCAACACGGCCUUUGUAAAUAAAGCCAUGCAAAUACACACAGGCGCAUACUAACAAAAUGAAACACGACAUUUGCAGAAGUGCAUGCAGAUAUUUACCAAGUUGUGCGUUUUACUUCUGUGUUUCUGUAACUCAGACAAGAAGGAACAGCGUAGGUUUAAUAUUUUUAUACUUAUGACUGUAAUUCAAAUACUUGGAAGACAUAUAUCGUACAACAUCUCACCAGGGACGUGUUGUACUGUACUAGGAAGAGCAAGGAAGCAUUUUUAUCCAUAGAAAUGCCAUUUGAGUGCUGCCUCACCAAAAUGCUUUGUACUUUCCUGGUGAAGAGCAGUCUUAGAUAACCGGUUUAAUGUUUAAAGUUAAUGUCAAGAUGCUGCUGGUGUCUGUCCAGAUGAGGGAUCUAACAGAUCUGUCUUCACAUUAAGAACACACAGAAAAUCUUGUAGUGUAAGCUAGAACAAAAAGCCUUUAAUUGCUUUACAAUAGACUUGAAAGUGUAUACCACAUCAGUGGAUGGAAAAAAAGUAUCACUGAGGGUGCGACGACAGCUCUGUACCUAUUUUUGUUCCAACAUACACUUCUGUCUAAUAGGGCACAUUUCUCGGAUCUUACUUUUUCCUUCCACCUUCACCUUCUGCAACUUUCUUUGCAGAGCACAGUGGGAACUGAAAAGGAAAUCAGAUAUUCCACACAGUCUGAAUGGAAGAAUUUUGCUGUGGUGCACUUUUCGAUUGGGCUUCUACAGUUAACCUUCAGAAAUCUCUCACUUCCUCCUCACUUCUUAUUCCUUAAUAACAUUUUCACUAUGAGCACCUUUAUAUUGAAUUGCUGUAGUCAAAACAGAACCAAAAAGAUUUUAACACAGGCUCAAAACAACGAUUCCUCCUCCUCCGUCUCCAUCUCAGGCAGUGGCGAUAUGCCCACAGAUUACUCAAAGGUAAUGUUCAGGGGUGCAACAAUGUAUUAGGGGGAGAAAAGGAGCUUUUGCCUUCUCUUGCCUUUAGAAGGAUCAGAUGUGCUAGAUUCAAUUCACUGUGAAAUGUUUUACAAUGAUUACGUGCACUGCAGACCUCAGUAACUUUCUCCAAAGUACUUCCUGAACAUCACAGCACUCUUCUAGCUGCGGUUUGCUUGCCUGACAACUUCUAUCUGCUUUUUGCUCUUUUCCUCCACGUUGUGUUUCUGUUUUUGUUUCCCCCUGAAAUGUAGCCCAAUAAACACAGAUAAAAGGAAUGAAUCAAGCCAUUUAACUUCAGAGAUUCAUCAAAUAAUGAGAGGUAAACCUGCCACGAUUUGAGCCCCUUGGCCAGCUGAGCACUGAGCUCACGGCCUCAGCUGUUGUACUGCUUGAGGAAGUGCAGACUUCAGAGGUCUGGCAGAAAAUAAUACACAGACCCAGGUGGGUUUUUUUUUAACCAGUGGUAUAAAGGAAGUGGUUUUGUUGCUAGCAGGUAUCUUGUUUGGGGUAUUAAAAUAAUGAAAGUUCAUUGCCACAGAUAAACUGUGACUGCACCCCUUCCAACCUGACCUCAAGCUUGAGUGACUGAAGGAGAACAUUUACAACAGCCUUCCCUCAUCCUCCAACAAAUCGAAUUCACACCCCUUAUACUGCUAGAAGAAAUCUCACUUCUAUAUAGAUAGAUAUAAGGGAAGAAGAAAAGCAAAAACAAACUCAAAAUCUUUGAGAGAGAGUGCUUCUAUGUCCGUGGUUCUCUGUGCACGAAAAUAGAAAUCUGGCCCAAACUUCAGUCACUGCUUGUUCUUUUUUCCCAGCAAAUGCUGUUACCCACCCACAACAGCCACAUUGCCAACAAGAAUAGCCAGGAAAGGGCAACCAGAAGCAACUUUGCCUGCAGAGAUGGGAAAUACCACCAAACCGGGGCAGUGUGUGAGGACAGGCUUUCACUAGAAAGGAGUAGGAAUGAUAAGCAGUACAUUUUAAAGCACCAUAGGGAAACGCACAAAGACCAGCACAGGUGUUGAUCAGCUGAAUAGCUGAGCUCAGCCACCACUGAGCCACUGCUGGAGCCCACUGGCUGCGUGCACACAGCCCUCUGCAGGCGGUGCUCCCUGGUUGCUGCGGUGUGGGGAACACCACAGGCGUGCGGUGUAACCCAGUAACCUCAUAAGGACAUUUUCCCUCCAACCCCAAACGCUCACUUUGCCCGAUUAAAAUGGGUAAGAACUAAUUCAUGUUGGUUGUGACCAACAGAAUAGCCUGGUACGCUUCAAAACCCUGUUUGCACGUGAUUUAAAUCCAGUAUCUUCUGAUCUAAGAGAUAAGCUGUCUCCACACUGUCUGCCGACCACUGCCUUCACAAGGCCUUUUCCCUGUUAACUUCUUUUCGCUUUCCUGGGCUACACUGGACGCGAGUUUCACAUUUGCCAUGUAGGUUUGCACACAGCUCUGCUAUAGGGUCGGUCGUACAGCACAGGAGAUAAUGUUUCAGCAAUUUAAGCCAUAACAGCUGCUGCGAAGAGCUGCCAUUGGCCAACCACAGCGCCGCUUUGAAGUUGCCAUGUCACAAUAAAACUGCAGCUUCUCACAAAUGCAACGUUUGGGAUUGUUGCCACAGAACUGGAGGACCUUUUAGAGAUCACUGAUGGGAGAAAAAAAAAAAAAAACACUACUAAAACGCAUUCAGUGUUUUUCUGUUAACUUCGCCCCGAAACCUGCAGCAAAACGAAUCAAAACUUUGUUCUCCUUAAUGACAGUGUGGAGCACAAAGAAAGAGAUUGGGGUUUGCCCUGACUUCCUUUUGUGCUUGUUUAUAUCGUUGGAGCAGAAAGAAUCUCAGCGCUUGGCAGCCCACUUCCUGAAGUCAGAAACAAAUAACCUACAUUUACUGCAAAUGGUAUCGAGACGGCAGAGCUCUGAUAUCACGGAGUCAACGAUCUGGUCAAGUGGGAAAGAUAGAUGGGACACUUCCCCUUCCCAUUUAUAAAUCCCAGCACAAGAGACAAAAAACAAAAACCCGCGGCCUUUUCCUGCCCCAAGCUGACAGUUCUGCUCCUCGAGAGAGAUGCCUCCGCACUAUUUCAGAAAGCAACAAAAAAUCAUUACGUAUAAAGCACUGCAGCCGAGCUGCUCCUCGCUAAGGGGGCAUAUCGGCGUUUUAAAACAUUUACUUGAAAACAUCAUCGGAGCUCAAACUUAAUUGAAAUGCUGAAGCUUUGUUUGCUCCCUCGCUCCAGCACAGCUGAAACAACAAAACCAGUCGGACAGCUUUUCCCCUUCGGUCAGGUAUGCGCUGAACGAGCGAUUUGAGCUCGGGGCCGGGAGCAGCGCUGCACCCACGGCUCAGCCCGGCCCGGACCCUUCCAUCCCUCCCGGCCAUCCCCGGCAGCUCCCGCCGUGACGGUGCGGGCUCGGACGGGUCGUGCCUCUGCUCCGAGGUCAGACAGACCGUGCUGCGAAAACACAACCGGUGCAGCCUAUUGCAGAGCUCGAAAAGGUUUACAGAGCAGCGUUUAAGCUUUCUGCCUCAGCGAUGUGUGCGUACAAAGGGACCGCGUUCUGUUCUCGCAUUAAAGCUCCCCUUUCACAUAAACGAGGGCUGCUCGUUAUAUUCCCCUCCCCGUUGUUUGUUCUCUGGAUAAAUUAAAUUUCUGAAAUUCCAA